ACAGAGUAAAAAUAUGUGCGUUAAGUGCCUUUAACACGGGGAGUUGGUUAAGGAACGAAAAGUUAUUCUUGCGGUACAUAUUUUGCAUCCCGCUGU
rnacentral:ncRNA from 12 species